rnacentral:lncRNA from 1 species
GUCUUUCGACCUACCCUCUUUCUCUCACAUCACCGUCUCUCUCUCAAGCCUCCAUUUGUCUCUUGCGAAAAUCAGAGGCAGCUCUCUCUCUCUCUUGCGAAAACCAGAGGCAGCUCUCGCUCUUUGGACAUAGAUCUUGCGCUCUGGAACUCAGAGGCAGUUCAUCUGAACUACAUCAGGUAUGCUCUCUCUAUGUAGAUUUUUUUUAGCGCUUUUUUGCAUUUUUCCUCUCUCUAUCUCGAAUUUUUUCAUAUGAUUUUUUCUUUAGUGUCUUCCUCUUUCUCUAUCUCGAGAUUUUUAAGGCUUUUCAUCCGUUUAUUUUUGUCCCUAUCUUGUUUUUUUUUGUUUUUGGGAUCUUUAUCAGUUUCUCUCUAUAUCUUUUUAUCUCCAUAUUUUUGGGCAUUCUGUCAGUUUCUCUCUAUCUCUCUUUAUUUUGAGAUUUUAGUGCUUUUCAUUAGUUUAUUUUUAUCCCUAUCUCGUUUUUUGUUUUGUUUUUUUGGAUCUUUCUCAGUUUCUCUCUAUCUCUUCCUAUCUCGAUUUUUUUGGGGCAUUUUCUUAAUUUCUCUCCAUCUUUAUCUCGAGUUUUUUAGGGUUUUUCAACAGAUGUCCGGUUUUUCCCUCUCUCUUUCUCUCUGUAUUUCUCUAUAUUCCUCUCAAUGUCUCUAUUUUUUCACUAAAUCCCUAAAAUAUAAAGUUCUAAGGCUCAGAUACCUAAUUUUUGCACAGAUACCUGAUUUUUCGCUGUUUUCAGAUACUAUAUCAGAAUUUUCAUUUCAAAAUCUUGUCCUUGUUUAGAUUUCUUUUUUUAAGUUAUAGAUAUUUUUGAAUUUGUUGUAUUGGUCUUUGAGAUAGAUCAAUUGAAAGGGAGUGGGGAGUUUUUGCAUGAUACUUUGUCUUUCCUGCUAUAUAUUGUUUACUAUGGUUCCUUCAUUUUCCUCUAUCAUUCAUAUUUUGUGUUAUGGGUUAUCAGUUUUCAUGCUAAGAAGAUGAAUGUGUGACUUCCAAAGAAGAUAUCAUAAUGAUGCGCACUAUGUUGCAUGGGUGAAGAAGAUUAUUGAGCAAUUUAUUUACAUUGUGCCAUCUGUGUACUGAUUGUUUUAGCAAUUCUAUUGAACUUGAUUUUGAAUUGGUAAAUGGUUGUUGAAUUCUGGUUUCCUUCUGCUGAUCACCGUUGUGGAGAACUUUAAGAAAUUAUGUUAUUGUCGGUGUGUAUUACAUAAUUAGGUUUUGGUUCUGGUUUUCUCACUCUAUUGUAUCAUAAUUUGUAUCAUUGUUAUGUCACUGUUGUUGAAUUCUGGUUUUCUCACUCUAUUUGGUAAUUAGGUUUUGGUUCUGGUUCUAUUCACAUCUAUUAGCCUUUGUAAUGCUCUCUUUCUAAACCAAAACAUGUAUUUCAGCUCUAACAAGUUCGUUUCCAUUCUUAUCAAAAGCUAUUUUCAACUGUUUCAAGGUCCUUUGAAGCUUUCAAGGCACAGAGUGGAUGGUGGGUUGCACCCCUCUCUCUCUCUCCAUGACUCCACAUUGUUUCAUUGGAUGGUGAACCAUUUGGCCCAUGGUUCUCAAUAGUCACUUAAAGUGCACUAUACAUUUCUCUAACAAAAACUAUGCUUUAGUCAUUUUGGUGGAGGUAUCAUUUCUUUUCUAGUAGUGAUAUUGAAUAUGUGCCUGCUCUAAGCUUAUAUGUUAACUCGUCUGUCUGCUAGUACCUUGACGAGUUCAUAAGUGUUGAUAAACUCCUAAAAUCUUCUAUUUGUAUGUUAUCCAUGCUUUUGGAUUUUUGGCCUCUUUCCAUGCUAGUUAAAUAUAUAUUUUUAUUUUAGAAAAAAUAUCUUAUUAUUCUCUAUUUUUAAUUUUUAUAUCUCAUCAGACCUAAGAAUUGAAAAUAUUAUUUGCAAGCAGAAAGAUUCCAUCUUUUCUAUUUUCCAACCCCCUAAACCCUUUUGGCCAUAUAUUAUUGACCUCAACAACUUCUAAAAUGAUUCUAUCUCUCUCUCUCUUUCUAAAACUCCAUCUCACUCUCACAUCAUCAUCUCUCUCUCAAAACUUCAUCUCUCUCUAAAACCCAAACUCCAUCUCUCUCCCUUCAUCCUCUCUCUCUCAAAACUCCUUCUCUCUCCUUAAAACUCAAACUCCAUCUCGCUCUCUCUAUCUAAAACUCCAUCCCUCUCUUUUUAAAACUCCAUCUCUCUCUCACACAUAAAAAAGUGUGCUCGUGUUCGAGUUCAACCUAAACCCCUUGGCUGGUAUACUCACUCAGAAGUGAAGAGAGAGAGAUGGAGUCUUAGAGAGAGAGAGAGAAUGAUCGAGUUUUAGAGAAGCGAGGAGUUUGAAUAAGGUGUCAUUUUAGCAUUUGUUUGGGUCAAAAAUUUAUAGGCAAAGAGGUCUAGGGGGUUGUAAGAUAGAGACCUUUCGUUUACAAAUAAUAUUUUCAAUUCUUGGGUCCAUGAGAUAUGAAAGUUAAAAAUAGGGGGAUAAUGAGAUAUUUUGCCUUUAUUUUUAUUCUCCUUUUCUUCCAUGGUUUCUAUGUUUCACGGUUCUUUAUCUAUUGCUCUGCUGCAGAUCUUAUUUACCUUGUUUUCUAUCAAGCUCAAGAGAUAUUCACUUACUUCUCUUGUUGGUGUCACUUGUAACUUUUACUUUCCCUUCAUGUCCAUAUAUUUUGUAAUGGUGUUGAUUUAUAAUAUUUAUUUUCAUCAUUUGACUAACUUGCUGGUAAGAAUUGUUUCCUUGGAUUCUUCUAUUUCCUUUGAUCCUUUCUUUUGUAGUUGGGGUGCAGCAUCAAACGGGUUGUGUGGUUGGGUGUUUAAAGAAGUUGCAGAGGCAGCGUUUGUCUUUAGUAUUUAAUUUAUGCCCGUGCUUUGCUGCUGCCAAAGCAUUUGUUGAGCACACUUGUUUUUGUUCCUUCGUAUUUUCUUUUAUAAAUAUGUGUUCAUGCCCCUGGAUAAUGGGUGAUUUUGUGGGGAUGUAACUGAGGGAUAGUGAAUACCCCUUCAAUAAUAAAUGAUCAUAGAUUUUUUAAUUUAUUUUGUAACUAUUGUAAUCUCAUAAAUGCUGUGAUGUUGAAGGCAAUCUCUCUGUGUCAUGUAGGUGUGUUAAAGAGGGAAUGGCGUAAUAUCUCCCUUUGUUUCCUAUUGUUUCUAAUAGGUUCUGAACCUCUAUUUGUGUUUAAUGAAUAAGGAAGAAAAAAAUAGAUGGAGAAAAACAAACUAUGAAGAAAGAGAGCUCCUUCAUUAGCCAAAUUUGAACCCAUGC